AUACGGAGGGUGCAAGCGUUAUUCGGAAUCACUGGGCGUAAAGGACGCGUAGGCGGGUUGGCAAGUCAGACGUGAAAUCCUACAGCUUAACUGUAGAACUGCAUUUGAAACUGCUAACCUAGAGUAUGGGAGGGGGAGAUGGAAUUAGUGGUGUAGGGGUAAAAUCCGUAGAUAUCACUAGGAAUACCGAAAGCGAAGGCGAUCUCCUGGAACAUAACUGACGCUAAGGCGUGAAAGCGUGGGGAGCAAACAGGAUUAGAUACCCUAGUAGUCC
rnacentral:rRNA from 1 species